rnacentral:lncRNA from 1 species
UCGUAUUUGUUCACUUAACAAUUAUUGAUUGAACAUGUCUUAGGUAUCAGACACUAUAAUAGGUUCUGAAGAUAAAACAACAAGCAAGACAAACUACCAGGAUUUAUGAGGAUUAUAUUCUAAUGGAAAGAAUCAAGUAAUAAAUAAAUAAUGAAAUGCCACCAAAAGCUAUGGAGAUGUGGUGUCAGGCUUGUCAGCAAUCAUGCCCUCUGCAACACAACAAGCCUUCAAAAGGUGAAAAGAGCUCUUUCUGCCUCCUAAAUAAUCCUUUCUUGGCCAGUUUUUGCCUAUUGCCUAAACAUCAGGAGACAAGUUUACCCAAAAGUCACAAAACUUUGGAAUUAGGUAAGCUUUUCAACUUGAAAGACUGUCUUCCUCCUCUAUUCCCAGUCUUUCCUGACCUUCCUGGUAUUACACACAUGGGAAGCAGAUCUACCCUGUAUGUUCUUGGAUAG